CCUACGGGUGGCAGCAGUGAGGAAUAUUGGUCAAUGGACGAGAGUCUGAACCAGCCAAGUAGCGUGAAGGAUGACUGCCCUAUGGGUUGUAAACUUCUUUUAUAUGGGAAUAAAACGUUCCACGUGUGGGAUUUUGUAUGUACCAUAUGAAUAAGGAUCGGCUAACUCCGUGCCAGCAGCCGCGGUAAUACGGAGGAUCCGAGCGUUAUCCGGCUUUAUUGGGUUUAAAGGGAGCGUAGGUGGAUUGUUAAGUCAGUUGUGAAAGUUUGCGGCUCAACCGUAAAAUUGCAGUUGAAACUGGCAGUCUUGAGUACAGUAGAGGUGGGCGGAAUUCGUGGUGUAGCGGUGAAAUGCUUAGAUAUCACGAAGAACUCCGAUUGCGAAGGCAGUUCACUGGACUGCAACUGACACUGAGGCUCGAAAGUGUGGGUAUCAAACAGGGUUAGAUACCCCAGUAGUC
rnacentral:rRNA from 1 species